GUAAGCCCCCAAUCCUCUCUAUUGAAAUCAGGGAAGAUUGUCCUCAUAUUGAGAGUCUUAAAAUGCAAUUGAGAAGAUGGCAAAUUCAGCACACCCCUAGAGAAGCAAAUGAUAUCGGGGAUGGUCUUCCUAAAACCGUUGUUUAAUGAUCACAGGUAUUGCGGAUGGUAAAUAGCUAGACUAUGGCUAACUCUUUGAGAGUGUGUAGUGUUAGGAAUGCUAUGCUCAGCCUAUGAAAAUAAUUGCUUGCUGAUCAGCAGGGAGUCACUGUUUGAUUUCCUUGUAGGGUAGGGGUUCCUUGUGAUGAAAGUGGUGUUGUACUCGGUCAAGGUCAUUUUGGUCUCAUUCACUGUAUUAUUUAUACAAUCUUCGUGCCUUUCACAAAAAAAAAAGUACAUAUAUAAGCAUCCAAAGCUGAGGGAACGUACACAAAGUUGGAGAUCAAGUUAAGCCAAAGGCGACAAUGCAAUGGGUCCAUUGCUUCCUCUCAAUUUUAAUUAUUGUUCUUUGUACCGUUGAUCGGUCGAUAUCUAAUUGAAAAUGCUUACAAAUUAUCUCGUAACAUGAAUGAAAAGGACCUAGUUCCCAUGGUUUAGAAAAUCGCCAUGAUUCAGACAUAUGGUUGUAGUUGCACACAUGGAGAAGUCGAAACUGAAAAGCUGAUCGCUGAACUUUGUGGGUUCAUUUGGUGGAACCGGCUCUGCCUCUAGACGUAACGGUGAGUGCUGCCAGCUCUCCUGGUUUUUCACUUUUGAUUUUUCAUUGAAGAGGUCAAGAGAGAAUUAGCUAAGUAUGUCGACAUGGUAGUAGGAGCCAGGCAUAAGUCUGGCAUACGAAGUCAAGAAUAAUAGCAGAAUGAACAGUAACAGCAAGAGAGUUUGGUGCAUCCAUAUCGGACUUCUAAGCUGGACUUCUAAGCUAUCUCAAACUUUUGGUGCAAUCAUUUAAGAUUGCAAUGAUCAAAAUCUGUCAUGAUUAUGUUUUAUUGAAUGAAAAGUUCAGAGAAGCUUUUUUUA